AAAUAAUAUCGUAAAUGUAGUAAAAACGUAUUCCUCUUUCACAUGAUUAAAGAAGGAAUAUUUUACACAUAAUUUGCAUUUAAUAUUUGUCCCGAUGUUAAUCUCGAGGGGAGUGAAAAAUGAGAAUCACAGAGUGCGUUAUCAUUUUGUUGCGUGAAUUCAUAAGUCUGGAACAGCGACUGGACAAAUAAACGAUAAGCAUAAAUUCCGCUUCUGUUAUUGCGGUCGCGGCAUUACAAUGCCACGAGUCGCGACAUCGGUGUACAAGGUGCUUCUUUAUUUCGAGCACCGGCGUGUUAUAGCGGUAUUGAAGUCACUGCACCGUGAGAAUACAGUUACGCGGUUAUUCUCGUGAAAUAAUGGCCGGCAUUAAUGAUCGGAAUUCCAAUAAACAAAAAAAGAAGAAAAAAAAGAAAAAUUAAUGGAGUGUAAAGGUUGACUGGCCAACAGUGUGGUCAACGAGCAAAGGAACAAGACGGAGAAAGUGGGACGAUGAAAGUGCGACCAAACGACAGGGCUGCCACUGCUGCGUGCGCAUGUCAGUAUGACCUGCGUCGAAUCAUGGGUUUUUCACCGGCGUCGGAAAUGCAAGGGAUCUACUUGUUGCUCCACUCUUCCCUCGAGUCAGGUGUCGCGUACGAAUCGGGACCAUUAACGAGACUGUCAAUCUGUCCCACUUAUUUAAUUACAGACAAAGGAAAAAAAGAAAAAAAAGAAAAUAGAAAAUAGUUUCCGGAAGUUGGAUAAUCUAUGUGCAUAGUAUUAUUGUCAGAGGCAGAAAAUGAUUAAAGAUUAGAUAAUAUUUGUUGUAGAAAUUAAAGGAAUAAAUAAUCUUUGGUAUAAAAUUAUGAUUGACAAAUGUAAUUGUAAAAAAUGAAGUUAAGCAAUUAUUAAUAAGAUUAAAAUUGAUAUUAAGAUUAGGGGUCUUGUCAUCUAUUGCUCAUAGAAUUAGUGAAAGUAGUUUUUGAAACUCUUUAGGGAAAGUUUUUAAGAAUUUAUAGAUACACAUGUAUAUAUAAUCUAUGAUAUAACUAAUAUACUCUUAAACAAAAAUAACUUGAUCACUUUGAAUGUCUCACUUGAUAAUAGGAAUAUUACAUGUUAAUGAUAAGAAAAGUUGUUUCAGAUAAAAUUGGUUAUGCAGAUAAAUAAACGUGUUAAUGUCACAUGAAGGUCAACUUUAUCUUACGAAGGUCAAAGAAAAAUGUUACGAAGAAAAACAUUACAUUAAAUUUAAAAAAAAAAAAAACAAGUACUAAUUAACCUCGAUAGAUGCAAUUUUAGGAUCAACAUAAUUUUUAAUUAGCUGUCAAUUAACAUGUAAAAAGUAGUAUUUAUUUAGAAGAACUAAUGAAAAAAUUAUUUAUACAUCAAUGAAGGAUUAAUAAAAUUAUUGAUUAAAGAAA